CGCAGCCGCGGUAAUUCCAGCUCCAAUAGCGUAUAUUAAAGUUGUUGCAGUUAAAAAGCUCGUAGUUGAAUUUCGGGAUUAGUACGUCGGUCGUGCCUUCGGUACGUACUGGUGUUACUGAUUCCUACCUUCUGACGAACCAUCAUGUCAUUAAUUUGGUGUGGCGGGGAAUCAGGACUGUUACUUUGAAAAAAAUUAGAGUGUUUAAAGCGGGCUCGCGCUUGAAUACAUUAGCAUGGAAUAAUGAAAUAGGACGUUGACCCUAUUUUGUUGGUUUCUAGGAUUGACGUAAUGAUUAAUAGGGAUAGUUGGGGGCAUUAGUAUUCAAUUGUCAGAGGUGAAAUUCUUGGAUUUAUUGAAGACUAACUACUGCGAAAGCAUUUGCCAAGGAUGUUUUCAUUAAUCAAGAACGAAAGUUAGGGAUCGAAGACGAUCAGAUACCGUCGUAGUCUUAACCAUAAACUAUGCCGACUAGGGAUCGGAUGAUGUUAUUUUUAAUGACUCAUUCGGCGCCUUACGG
rnacentral:rRNA from 1 species